rnacentral:lncRNA from 1 species
UACCCCCUGUACUAACUAAUCAAAAAAAUUUCCAAGACAAAAAAGAUGGUAAUAAAUAAAUUUUCAAAUUGGGGAAGGUUGUGUUAUUUAGGAGUUGUAUUUCUUUCACUUAAAUAUGAAUUCUACUUGUUGCUGUUGCUGGGAAAAGUAUGGCGAAAGAUCAAAAUCAUUGAAAAAAAUGAAUAAAAACUUGAAGAACAAAUUCUACUGUUUAUCUUUCCAGGAUAUUCAAUUAACAACGAUUGCUAUCCAUCAGUUGUUUGUCCUAGUUGCCGAAGAAAUCUUUACAGACUCAAAAAGGGAGACUCACCUCGUGGUGAAUGGGGAGCUAAGGUUGCCAAGGUAGAGUGGAACACUCUUUUAAGAAAUAGCUCCAGUACCAGUUUAACUCUUCCAGAUGAGAUAACUAAUUUACCGACAACUGAGUCAAGUAUAUGUUCCUUUUGCUAUACAUUACCUGCACCUGGUUAUUCUCAUAACUGUACACCAACCAGUGGUGUACAGUGGUGGCUGAUAUCAUUACACUGUCAUUUCUUUUAGGUUCUCUACAAGCUGAACAGGUUGCUUCUGGAAUUAUAAAAAGUAAAAUGGCUACAGAAAGUUUGAUUGAUGGAUCAAUGUUUUGUUUAUCUACAAGAGAAAAUCCGCUCAAAGUCACAGUUGGCACACCAGAAAACAAAUCAAAAAAAAACUUAUGUUAAGCAGCUUUCCAUCGAAAUAAUAAAGCAAUUACAAAUUGUGUUAGAACUUUCAAAUAGAAAAACAAAAGAGAUGCUUUCUACUUAACGCAAAGGUUUAGGAAAUAAGCUUUCCAUUGAGCCUAAUAUUUUUGGUCAUCUUUCUGAAUUAGAAGAAUAUAUUUCUAAUUACUACAGUGUGCAGAAGUGUGAGUUUGUUGAUAGUAAAGGCCAUUUUAUUUUAUGAGAUCUUGUAUAUGUUCAAAAUACAUCAGAUUUUGUACUUGACUUGUUAAAAUUACGUGGUUUAGACCCUACUUCAGCCUUUAUAAGGAUUUCAUUGGAUGGUGGAGGUUCAUUUUUUAAAGUAAUCAUCAAUGUCUUUGAUUGUCAAAAAGAUAAUGAGUCAGAUGAGUACUUAAAUAGUGGCAUUCAACAGUCUCAAUUUUUAGCUAUUGUUGAAGAUAUUCCUGAAUCUAACUUUAAUUUAAGACUUGUUAUAGAAAAAUUAAAUUUGCAAGAUGUCAGUUUUUAUGUUGCUUUUGACUUGAAAUGUGGAAAUGCGCUGUUUGGUUUAUCAGGACAUUCUGGGAAAAACGCUUGUUUUAGGUGUCAAGGAAUAUCUACAUUAAAUUUAGGGACAAGACCAACUCUUGGCAGUAUUGAUUAUUGGUACAAAAAAUAUUUUGAAAAUAACUCAGUAAAAUCAUCCACGGAAGAGUUUAUGAUCUGCAUCAAUCCUCGAAUUUUGUAUAUUAAUUUAGAUCCAAAUUCUUUAAUUGAGCAACUCAUUCCUCCACCUGAACUUCAUUUGUUAAUUGGUUUUGUUUCACUGCUUGGAGUUUUUUUGUUAGAUGUCUGACCAGGAUUUGAUGAUUGGCUUAAGACAAAAAAUGUUAUUCAGCGAGGGACCAAGGCAGAGGCUGGGACAGAAACAAUUCCAACAAAAUAUUAAAAAAUCUGGAUUCUCUUGAAACACAAAUUUUAGAAACAUAUACUUGUUUGAUUCCAAUUGUUCAGUGUUUGAAAGAUUUUAGAAAUGUAAAAAAUUGUUGCUUUUCCAGCAAUUUACAAACUGUCUUCAAAGUAGCAAUAAAAAAUUUAAAGAGUUCAUUUCUUUUCGCACAAGAAGUUGCAAUAAAUUUAAAUAAACAAAUAAAUACAACAUGGAAAGUCCACAUUCUACUGUGUCAUGUACAUCCAUAUGUGGAACACCAUAACAAAGGAUAGGGUAACUUUGCUGAACAAUGUGGAGAAAGUAUUUAUGCAAAGUUUAAACCAAUAUGGACAAACUUUAACAGGCAAAAAGAGCAUUCCGAACAUGGUGACAGGCUAUUAUCAGCAGUAGUUGAUUUCGAAGCAAAAAGAAUUUGAUUUUGUUUAUAAA